CAGUUUUAGGCUACUGAGCUCUCUUUCUUUACCUCUUUUUUCUUUUUAUGUGGAGGCAAAUUGCUUGCUUCUUUGGUCUCUCCUCUUCCACUUCUUAGCAAUCUAGCAAGGGAAAGUGUUUUCCUUUUGUGGGUACGCAAGUUUCUUGGAACAAGAAGGAAAGAAUUAGCUAGCUAGUAUGGGGCUCUCAAGUUUCCCUUGUGCAGCUGAAGGAGUGCUUCCCGUGCUGGUAAUGAACACGGUUAUAUCAGUAGCUUUAUUCAAGAACAUGGUCAGGUCUGUGCUCCAAGUGAUGGGUGCUAAUUGGACUCCACAAGAUUAUGAGCAAGACCCAGAUGGGCGUAUUAUUCCUCAAGAAAAUGCAAGAGAGAGAAGAAUUUCAAUAACCCAGUUCAAAUCCUUGACCACCCCCAAUAGUCCCAGUGGCAGUGGUGGUGGCAGUGGCGGUGGCAGUGGUCGGGCUGGUGGUGCUACAGUGGAAUGUUGUGUAUGUCUUUGUGGGUUUGAAGCUGAAGAGGAGGUGAGUGAACUGU
rnacentral:misc_RNA from 1 species